rnacentral:misc_RNA from 1 species
UGGUUGAGCUGUAGAGUUGAG